rnacentral:tRNA from 1 species
UAUAUAAGUUAGUUAAAAUAUAAUAUUUAGGUUAUUAAGAGUAAUUUACUGA